ACACAAGAAUGAUGGGCCAGUUCAUGGAGGAAGCUGCCAUUGAGCCAAUGUCCAGUCAGUCCACUCUGCAGUCUGAGGCACCCUGAUCAUAGGCUUAGACAUACUUCUAGGGACAUCUGCAGAUCUUGUGGUGAGGGAGGUAGCUGCAGAAGCUAAUGCAGAGGUCAUGAGCUCUGUCCUAUUCUAAAAUUUCCAAUGUGCUACACAUUGUAAGUGCAAGAUGUCACAUUGCAAUUACAGCAUAGAAGACUUUUGCUUGCACCGGGGGUUCUUAGUGUAUAAUACCUUUAACUAAAGGACUUGUUAAAAUGGGUUGCUACCCUUCUGGGACCCAAGAAUUAAUUCUAAUAAACUUCUAGGUGCUUCCAUUGCUGCUGUUGCUGGCAGUGUGGGGACCAGAGUCUGAGAUCUUUUGACACAUACUGUGCACUGUCUGUGCCUGCUUGAAGUCUAUAUUGCACGUGAUAGUCAGUUGAACAUUAACGGAAGCCUGAAUGCCAGAUGUUAAUGAAUACUUGAUGUUAGAGUAUUUUGGUAUAUUCAAAAUACUGGGAUGCAACUCCACCCUGUCGCAGUGCGAGCAAACAAAUACAUAAUUUAUUUAACAAAUCUCCUCAGUGCUGAUUUGGAAUCAGGCAUUGAGAACCAGGAGGUACAAAACAGACAGAAAUGCUGGACUUUAAAGAUCUUAAAUGUGAGUGGGAAGUAUCCUUCCAAACUUCGGCUAAGUCCUUUUAUAUCAAAGAGCUCAGGUUCUCACAAGAACAAUGUAACUGUCCUAUCUCCAAGAUGAGACCAUGGAGAUUCAAGUAGUCCAGUGACUUUUACCGCACUCGAUGCCUGUAUCCCCAAAGCCCACAUGCUUUCCCAAGCGUCGCAGAGAAAUAUUUAUGGUUAAGUCUAGAAAAGGGACUUUUCAUUGAAGUAUCCUGCAUUCUAUUUGUUAAGAAUUUCUUUUCCGUAGCUAUACCUGGAGAGAUCUCUAAGGGACCUUUCGUUGGAAGGUCCCAAGAGCUGAGAUGGGUGGAUCCUGAACUGCAAGAAGACAAAGCACUUCUGUCUUCAUAUACAGCAGUUUCUCUAGUCAACCUGAGAUGAAUCCCAAGACGGAAAACGAGCAAAAACUGUGUCUGAGGCUUCUGAGAACAGCGGAAUGGCUUCUCUCCAGUCAUGUUCCUCAUCUGGCCUUCUUCCAUCCCUCACCUGAAAAUUAGUCACCUUCUUACAAACCUGGUGAUGGUGGUGAUCCAUAUGUAUUGUGUGUGUGUGUGUGUGUGUGUGUGUGUGUGCGCGCACGCGCGUGUAUGCCUGCGUGCGUGUGUGCACGCAUGCAUGCGUGUCUGAUUAUUGAUUGAUGGAGGUGGGCAGCAGGACCUCGUGGGUAGUGUCACACUGGACAAAGAAACUGUCAUAUUUUCCAAAUACAUUUCUGGAAAAUGUGCUGGCAUCUCUAUGAGGUUACUAGGGGAAUGAGCCAUAGCAGGAUAGGUAUGAAACAUUGUUACCAUUUAUUAUGAGAAAAAAAAAGUGUUAAGUAGCUGGUUUAGUGGGAUACAGGGACUGCAACAGUCUGUCUGCUUAAAAGGACUUUCUACUUGAUUUAGCUGUCAUCUACUUGAUGCAAAUUAUUUUGCAUUUUCCUGUCUCCAAGUUCUUCCUUUGAAAGUCAAAUAAAAGCAUAAUUCUCUUGUUUUCAUCACCUCCUUUAAAACUAGGCACAUCAAAA
rnacentral:lncRNA from 1 species